rnacentral:rRNA from 1 species
UACGUAGGGGGCAAGCGUUGUCCGGAUUUAUUGGGCGUAAAGAGCGUGUAGGCGGUUUGGUAGGUCCGUUGUGAAAACUCGAGGCUCAACCUCGAGACGCCGAUGGAAACCAUCAGACUAGAGUCCGGAAGAGGAGAGUGGAAUUCCUGGUGUAGCGGUGAAAUGCGCAGAUAUCAGGAAGAACACCGGUGGCGAAGGCGGGUCUCUGGGCAGUAACUGACGCUGAGGAGCGAAAGCGUGGGGAGCGAACAGG